GUUUACCACCAUACUGUUCUUAAUGCACCUGAUCUUGUCUGAUCUCAGAAGCUAUUCAGGGUCAGGCCUUAUUAGUACUUGGAUGGGAGAAAGUCUGGGAAUGUUUUUAAUU
ensembl:rRNA 5S_rRNA 5S ribosomal RNA